rnacentral:lncRNA from 1 species
UCGAUUGGGCCGGCGCGUGACGUCACGCCGUUUUAGCCAAACAAAUGGGUUUCGGGGCGAGCGUUGGGCUCCGCCGCGCCGCGCUGGGCGCUCGGUCCGCCUCAGCGGUGGGGAGCGAGCCAGGCCUCCCGCCGCCGCCGCCGCCGCCGCCGCAUCGGGGUGUGCAGCCCCGGGCCAGGCCCGGGCCGGGGCAGGAGCGCAGAAAAGUGACCAUGACCUGGAGAGUAUCCUCUGUGUCUCCACCUCAUCCACCUUCCAUCUCUGAGCUCGCAGUGCACUAGGUUUAACAUUGGUUCACUCUAGUGAAUGCUUGCCAAGUACAAGGCACUGUGCUGCAUGCUCUGUGAGAAACUACAGAAAGGAGUAUGAUUACUCAUACCUUUCAGUUACAGUAUAGUAGGGAGAGGAAGACAAGAUAGACAACGGUAAGUGUCCCAGGGGAGGCAUAUGGUAGCCAUUCCGUAACAUUGAUGGGUGAGGGUGGGGCAGUGGAUGAGACCUGGGCAGGGAGGGGCCCAGCGGGGUGAGCAGUUUCAGUAGUUCUAGUGGGUAAAGAAUGAAAAAGAUGGUGGAAAAAAGGACAAAUGGCCACUGUGAAGGUGAAGGAAAAAUACAAGGAAGAACUAAGGCAGGAGCUGUUAAUUAGAAGCCAUGAGAUUUUCCAAAAAUCUGUGCAGAAUUGUUUUGUGUGCUCUGGCCUUUUUUCUUGGGCAGAGAACUUUGACUUUUUCUGAGAUUCUGAAGUGUCCAGAAUCAAAAAAGAUGGAGAACCACUGCUAACUUAUCAGCCUUUGAUAACAGAAGGUAUUGAGGCUUUGUAGAGAAAUUAAGUCAUGGGGUAGUACAGUAUUUUCUUGGGGGAAAUAGGAUUUGGAGGACCGAGUUUAUGAAAUUGUCUCUGGAGCAGGGGCAGGGAUUGCCUUGUCAAACUGGGUGUCCCCACCCAGCAAAUUUGGUGGAUCCAUUGGUAGAUUGCAUGACAGUGAAGGGUAGGUG